UUGUUUAAUGAAACCCUAAUUCCCCGGGUUUGGAGCCUAUUUAAGGGCACUUAUAGCCUCCCAUUGCGGCUACCAGUCCCUUGAGAGAACCCUAAGAGAGCUAAAUCGCUGUGAGGGAGAAGAAGUCACUUUUUGAUCGUUGUAUCUUUGGUUUAGCAAGAAGAAGGUGACAAGAGCAAAGAGGAGGUGCGAUUCAAGCAGUUUCAGAGUUCAAAGACUUCAUUUUGAGGUACCAGUGAUGACCGCGGGAAGGCGCCGGCUUGAUUCGUACACACACAUGGGAUUUUAUGUAUUUUGAUCUUGGGAGAUAUUUUGAGAAACAAAGACAUGACACUAUGACAUUUUAUGAAUGAAUGAGUUUGUAAAAAUGUGUUUGAAAAUGAGAAAAAUUGUUUUAA